UACGUAGAAGGCGAGCGUUGUCCGGAAUUACUGGGCGUAAAGAGCGCGUAGGCGGCGCUGUACGACCCGUGUGAAAGCCCCCGGCUCAACUGGGGAGGGUCACGGGUAACGGCAGUGCUCUGAGUGCAGGAGAGGGAAGUGGAACUCCGGGAGUAGCGGUGAAAUGCGUAGAGACCCGGAGGAACACCAGUGGCGAAGGCGGCUUCCUGGUCUGCGACUGACGCUGUGGCGCGAAAGCUAGGGGAGCAAACGGG
rnacentral:rRNA from 1 species